rnacentral:rRNA from 1 species
UACGUAGGGGGCUAGCGUUGUCCGGAAUCACUGGGCGUAAAGCGCGUGUAGGCGGCCCGGUAAGUCCGCUCUGAAAGUCGGGGGCUCAACCCUCGGAUGCGGGUGGAUACUGUCGGGCUUGAGUGCGGAAGAGGCGAGUGGAAUUCCUGGUGUAGCGGUGAAAUGCGCAGAUAUCAGGAGGAACACCAAUUGCGAAGGCAGCUCGCUGGGACGUUACUGACGCUGAGACGCGAAAGCGUGGGGAGCAAACAGG